rnacentral:rRNA from 1 species
GAUGAACGCUGGCGGCGUGCCUAAUACAUGCAAGUCGAGCGAACGGACGAGAAGCUUGCUUCUCUGAUGUUAGCGGCGGACGGGUGAGUAACACGUGGAUAACCUACCUAUAAGACUGGGAUAACUUCGGGAAACCGGAGCUAAUACCGGAUAAUAUUUUGAACCGCAUGGUUCAAAAGUGAAAGACGGUCUUGCUGUCACUUAUAGAUGGAUCCGCGCUGCAUUAGCUAGUUGGUAAGGUAACGGCUUACCAAGGCAACGAUGCAUAGCCGACCUGAGAGGGUGAUCGGCCACACUGGAACUGAGACACGGUCCAGACUCCUAAGGGAGGCAGCAGUAGGGAAUCUUCCGCAAUGGGAGAAAGCCUGACGGAGCAACGACGCGUGAGUGAUGAAGGUCUUCGGAUCGUAAAACUCUGUUAUUAGGGAAGAACAUAUGUGUAAGUAACUGUGCAAAUCUUGACGGUACCUAAUCAGAAAGCCACGGCUAACUACGUG